rnacentral:pre_miRNA from 1 species
AGUACAAUAGCUGGGUCAAAUGGUGACUCCAUUCCUAGUUUUCCAAGGAAUCUCCAUACUGCUUUCCACAAUGGCUGCACCAAUUUGCAGUUCUACCAGCAAU